rnacentral:rRNA from 1 species
GCAUAUCAAUAAGCGGAGGAAAAGAAACUAACAAGGAUUCCCUUAGUAACGGCGAGUGAAGCGGGAAGAGCUCAAAUUUGAAAUCUUCAAGGUUCUACCUUGACGAAUUGUAGUUUAAAGAAGUGUUUUCUGUUAGAUGAGUAGCAAAAGUUCCUUGGAAUGGGACAUCAUAGAGGGUGAGAAUCCCGUAUUUGGUUAUUCAUUCUAGCUUUGUGAUACACUUUCAAAGAGUCGGAUUGUUUGGGAAUGCAGUCCAAAAUGGGUGGUAAAUUUCAUCUAAAGCUAAAUAUUGGCGAGAGACCGAUAGCGAACAAGUACCGUGAGGGAAAGAUGAAAAGAACUUUGAAAAGAGAGUUAAACAGUACGUGAAAUUGUCAAAAGGGAAGCGUUUGACACCAGUGUUGUUUUUCCGAAAAUCAAUUACGAAUGGCUUGAUUUUGUGUUGUAUUGACCUUAUCAGCUUUCUUCACUUUUUUCGAGUCUUUCUUAAUGCACUUUUCGGUUAACAAGUCAACAUCAAUUUCUUUUGUUGUAAAAGAGUAUUCGGAAGGUGGCUUUCUUUUCGGAGAAAGUGUUUAUAGCCCUAUACUUCUACAAUCGGAGAGAUUGAGGUCUGCAGCGUAGAUCCUUCGGGGUUAGAUACACUUGUGCUAAGUUGUAGCUUUUCAUAGACAACUUGUUGACUAUGUUAAGUCAUGCGGCUUACUCGCUUGUGCUAUUUUACCUACGCUUAGGAUGUUGACAAAAUGGUUUUAAACGACCCGUCUUGAAACACGGACC